rnacentral:lncRNA from 1 species
CUUCUAAUAUUCUAAUUCUUAUAUUGAAACUCUACAUAUAUCGGACAAUGCUACGACAACUCACUAUAUUUCAAUUUCUUUGGCAAAUUUUUCAUGAAUUGCAAUUCUGUGUGCUUGCUAUUGCAGUCAAGGGCUCAUAGCUCGACAUAUGAGGUAUUGUCCGCUCUAACAUGAUGCUCCAUCUCAAGAACAAGAAAAAAAGAAACAAGAGUAUGAAGGUAUGAAUGAAGAACAUCAAGAACCAUCAAAUACCCUUCAACAAAGUAUAAAUGAUUUACCAAAGAAAUAGAAGUAUACUUAUAGUCACCCUAAAGAAUUAAUUAUUGCUGAUCCAUCUCAAGUUAUUAGGACUCGAAUAUAUAUUAGAAAAGCAUUAAAUCAUCUUAUAUUUAUAGCUCAUAUUGAACUUAAAAAUAUAAUUGAAAUCGA